ACCUGGAAAUGAAAGCAGCCACAUCAAUUGAAGUGUUUGUUAUCUGCAGCCAAUUUACUGCAGUGAUCUCUGCGCUGAGUUUAAACCAUCUCUAACAUUACCGACACAUUCAUCUCACUAGUCUCUAAACUCUUAAUAAACCCCCUUGUCCUUUUCCAUAACUUUAUCACACUUCCAGCGCGUGCAGCUGCCACGCAAACACCCAACUACAGUAACAGCAUUUUCCAGCAGAUCUUACCGGACUGUCCGUCGCUGUUCCUCAUGCCGAUAAAACUGGACUAAACGCAUCUGAACCAGCUCAAAGGUGGAAAGCUGACCUGCUCCCUGAAUGCCUCACGAGCAGUUAGGGACCGUCUACAAACCGCAGGUCUGAAGCGAAGCGUGUCAGGGAGCGUUGAAAAAAAGAAGAAAACCGUCUGUCCAGUUUCUACAAAACCAGAGGACGGAGGCUGAGGACCGGAGCAGUUUUAGUAGAACCAGAGGACGGAGGCUGAGGACCGGACCAGGUUUAGUAGAACCGGAGGACGGAGCCUGAGGACCGGACCAGGUUUAGUAGAACCAGAGGACGGAGCCUGAGGACCGGACCAGGUUUAGUAGAACCAGAGGACGGAGCCUGAGCAGGCUUUUUAGUUUGGCUCUCUUCAUACAAACAGCUGCACUGAUCAUCCUCUGAAAGAUGAAGUAAAAAAGAAGUCAUUACAAAUUUCUGUGGCCUCUGUAAUGUGCAAAAGUUUCAGAAGAAUUUGAAGAAUUCAAUCUGUGGAGUGUAAAUUGUCUGGUUAGGACAGACAAGUCUGGAACAUUUCUGGAACCUGAUGAUUCCGAGCUGAUCAACCUUACCAAGAACAGGAAGACCAUGGGUCUGAAAUAAAACUGGCAGAGUUCAGUAAAAUAAAAUAAACAUCUUCUAAUGCCCAUCUGCUUUGUCUGAACUAAAACCUCAGUUGGAAAUCUAAAGCAAGGAAGAAAAUGAGUCCAGAUGUUGUAGUGUUUUAGGAAGGAUUUCCUGUACGAUGGGCCACUUUCAAAAUCACCAAAAGUAAGAGGAAAAUUAAAACUGGUUAACAACUGUAGAUGAGAACAGAGGUCUUUUAGUUUGGGAUGUGUGGCAGAGGGCGAUGCAGUGGUAGAAGGCUGAUCUACCCCCACAUGAUUCACCAUGUUAUUUAAAUUUUCUGAGAAUCAAAUCCAAACCAACGUCUUUCAGCUGGGUUUAUGUAGCUUGACGACACAGCAUAUCAUGACUUCAUGAAGCUGUUACAGGGUUAGCAGCUCCAGAACUGAGCUGCUGCAGGACUCUGAGCACUGCUGGGGUUUUUGUCCAUGGACCUCUAAAAACUGAAUCAGUCUGGAUGAACCAGGACAGGAGGAUGGUGGUCUGAAGAAACAACCACCAUAG